UCAUUGGUUUGGGUGACCAUUGCCAACAUAAUUGACAGCUUUAUCAUUGAAACAGUAUUUCGCUGCCUUAAAACAGAGAAACUCAAAAAGAAAAGAAACUCAUCUGUACUAAGUUAACAUGUAAACAAGCGCAAUGUAUAUGUUAUUUCUGCUACUUUGUCUUAAAUUUAACGCGCUGGGUUUCCAGGCCAUGGUGGCAAUGGAGAAGCUGUCUGCUACGGUCAGGACUGGCGGGACUGUGACCGUUUGAAAGUUUACUGUCUCUUACUUUGACGUAUAUAUUUUUAGGGUUUGUUGUAAAUUUAUGUCAUGUGUGAUCGUUAAGGUGAAAUUUUAAUAUGUUUUUAGUAUUGCGAAGAGAAUUUUAAGUUUUGUAAUUUAUGCUGCGCUCUAUAUAGUACAAACAGAAUGGUGAUUUUUUUUUAAUAUUUUAGGCCAAAAAUAAUGUUUUGGUUUAUUGUUUUAUGUGUAUUGGGGACUUGAGCGCGUUUAGUUUGAUGAACCGGCUGUGUCUAAGAGACAUACUAUAAAAGAUUCUGUUAUGGAGCUGCGAAAGAGUAAGCUGAGCAAGUGACAAAAGAAUACCGGAGGAUGGACAGCGCAGAAACCCAGUAUAUCUGAAGCAGAUCUUCAUGGAUCCUGUGGAAAGAAAGGAAUUAGGC